CAAGGACAAGCUGAACUGUAGGUUACCUGCUAGCAUCAAAUGCAGACAGCCACUAGUAGCAAGCUAAAGCAUAUAUUUGUCAUCUCAUGCGUUGGUGGAGGACGAGCCAGAGGCAAAAGAGCGCAGACUGCAGCAGAACACAGGGUCAGUAGAGUUUUCCUCCUCAUACUGAAACAGCUGAGAAAGCAGAGACAGUUUCCCGCUGAGGAGGAGAGAGAUGUUAUUCAUGGAGGAUCUAUUGAGGAGUACCUGACCCACAAGCUGCCAAGUGUGUAGGUUUGCAUCAAGCUCUGAGAAGCAGUUGUGUGGACUCCUACACGCACCCAUCCCUCCUUCGGGACCGGCCC